GUGUCACACCACAGUGGAGCGGCACAAAUGGACGGACCCUGGAGAGAGCUUAUAAUAUGCAGCAACAGAAGGAUUGGAAGGUGGAGGUUUCUGGAUUUCGUUUCCCCACGAUGAAGCCAGUAAAACCAGCUUUACGUGUAAGGAUACGUCUGCUUAGAGGGUUUUCAUUUCUGUGCUGAAAUAUUUUGAUUAAACAAUGCAAAACUAGCUGUGGCAGGCCUCUGGAGCUCAGAUGCAUGCUUGCUUUUGGCAUGUGUGCUCAGAUGAGAGUCACACCUACAGUCUCUCAAGAUAUAAGAGAAGUGAGGCCACUGUUUUGAGGUCUGAUGUGUCCUGCAGUUUUUGUUCAGAGCUAGUUGAGAUGUUACUGACAGUAAGGCUGCAGGAAAUAGAUUCCACAAAUACUUGAUCACUUUUUUUUUAAAGAAGAAAUAUACCUGGUUCUGUAGCUCAGUAUUUUACCUGCUAUUUUCUCCUGUAGAAUUGUGCAGGCAAUUUGGAUGGGAUACUGUAAAUAUGAAGCACUAAUGCAGAAUGUGGCAGGUGCUUUGUCUCUGCAUUUCCUUUACCUGUAGGAUUCUUUCCUGGGGCUGCUUGCAGAUGAAGAAGGACCACGAGGGCCAGGAAGGGUGUAGGGGUCUCAUGUCUGAUUAUGUGGACCUGCAUGUUUCCAUCUCCCUACAUUACAAAAGGGGAAGGAUUUGGACGCUCAGUGAAUGAAGGGGGCACUUACAGAAAUAUUUCCGUUACUUUGAAUGAACUUUAAAACGUUGCUUGGUAAAGAGCUUCACAGAUAAAUUCUCAUUUAGCUGAUUGUAUUUAAACUAUUUCUAACUUUCUAGGGCAUAGCUGUAAAAAAAAAAACAAACAAAAAAAAACCAUAAAUCUUUAACUUACUAUUUUUACAGUUGUAAUUUUGGUCCUUGUAAAACACUACUAGACUUUGAAAGCAAAAACACUGACCUCUGCCUUAGUGUCUCAUUACUUUCCUGGUCUUGACAUAAUCGUAUUUUCCUUGUGUUCAUUUUCGUAUCCUCUAGAGGGAGAAGUAAGUUGCUCACACGAUGUUAGAAACUCUGCUAAGGCUCCAUGAAGAGUGCUAAUGACAUUUCUACAAAUGUUGGUGGAUCUGUACAUGGCACCUAGAUUUUUUGUUCUCCUAGAUUUCUAGUUCCUGGGUAAAGUUUUAUGCUUACAAAGGUGGUAGGGACAUAAUUUGUCCGGGGCCAGGCAUGGCUACAGCUGUGGUAUUAAUGAUGGCUUUGGGAUGGGAUUUUAGACAGUACAUGACAAACAUGCAGGAGACUUUUUUUCUUCCUGUAUGUAUGAAAACCCAUGGUGAAAAUCUAAAAAAUUGUGAGGAUGCCACUCCGCAGCUGUCCAAAUUCAUAGGCAUAAUCUACAUUCUUUUGUGUAAUGCAAUAGAUAGCAACUGCUUUGCCAUAAGCACUAGCUCUAAAUGCAGUUUAAGUAGUUGACAGUUGCUCUUUUUUCUCCUCCUAUGGGUUGUUUAUUUUCAAAGAACUGAAAGAAGAAAAAGCUUGGCCCUUCUUCCUGACGUGCAACAAUCUGCUUCUGAUCUCUGCAGCCUGUGUGGACCUGUAAGCUCUCCUAAGCAAGAAUGUGAAAGCUAGACCUAGCCUACAGCAUUGGAUUUAAGACACUCUCUCUCUCAUCUAGCCCAGAGAUCCAUGUCUGCUUUGGAGGUUGCAGAGGCCACGAGGCUGGGAUUGUUGAGCAGCAAUGGCAGUUGGCAGCGUUGCUUGGUGUUUGGUUUUGGUUGUGUUUUGUGUUUUUGUUUUGGCUUUUUUUUUUUUUUUUUAAGAUGUGUUUAUAUUGGGUUGUUACACAGCCAGAUGACAGAUGGACUGUGACCCUUCUCUUGGCAUUAGUGCUGGGCUAAGGGAGUGGUGGAAAUAUGAAGACAGAAAGCUUGGUCCAUGGCUAGCUUCUGGAAGGUCUGCGGGAUGCCUAGAGACAGAGGGUUUUCUUAGCAUUCCUUUUCUUCAGCCUUGCUUUCACCCCAUUACCUAAUCUGAGCCCUGACCCUGGAAGCUUGACGUGAACCCCAUGCUCCAGGUAGGGAGAUGCUGCAGAUCUGUUACCAGCAUUUUGGCUAGGGAUCUUGACAGCCAAGUCUGAAAAUAUUUAAUUUCUUCAAGGAUUCUUCAACAUGCAGGUUGGUGUUUGUAGGGUACAUGAGUUAAAGUCAUCAUAUUAGUAAGGUUGCUGUUAGCCUAUAAAUGGUCAAAGCAGGAGAGGGUGGGCUGGGUAAACAGGCUUCUCACUAGAUCUGGUAAGGAUUGAGUGUUGAGGUGAGGUCAGAUGUGUUGAGACUUUUGGGGUAAGGUUUGCUCAGGUGGUAAGCAUACCAGUUGUGGUCUGCAUGGCACCAAUAAUGGGUGGAAUACUCAGAUCUUGGAGAGCUGUGAGUUGGCAGGAAUAGAUGAAGGCUGAUGCUGACUGAAAAUGGGUAGCAGAGGGUUUGCUGAUACUGUUGAAAAGACAAAUUUGGCCUAAUUUGUGUGUUUAGGAUAAGAUGUUGCUUUUGAUGCUCUUAUACUUCUGGUUAGAAUAGAAACUUGAGGAGCUGUUUGUCCUCCGUCCUCAUCAGGCUUCUCAUUCUGCAGUCCCCUGAUGUGUGUGAGCUUGCAGAGUACAAGUUUGCACAUGUUGUGGAGCGUUGUGUCUCUUUGGGCUACAAAUUAGCCUUUGUGUGAGACUUGAGAGCUACUACUGUGGAUGGUAGACCUCAGGUCUGUCAAAAAUUUGGGCUCUCAAGGAAAUGUAAGGAGGCUAUAUCAUAUUGCAUGAAACAUACUUUAUAUAACUUGUUUUGCUGUAAUAGUGGUGAAUAUGAGAAACAGUUCUUCCUUGGAGAUGGUGAUAGCUUGAGUGAUGGAGCAACAGUCUGGAUGGGUAAAGCUAGAGGGGAAAGAACAGUUGAAGUAGGGGCUGCUAUUUUGUGGUCCUCCAACAUCUUCUGCACCAUCACUUGUUUUGGAUGCUGUCACUGGUCUACCUGCAAUGCUCGGAGUGCUUGCCAGUUACCCUUCUAUGUUGAUCCAACCUGACCUCAGCUCCUCACCAUCACCAUAGACUAAACACCAGCUACUUGAGAUGCAAACCACAGAAACAGCAGGGAGAGCUGGAGACACUUUUCAGGGCCGUUUUGACUUGUUUGAAAAGUCACUCCCCGUGAGAGUAUGUGGCUGAGGUGGCAGAUUUGCAGUGACUUGCCUCCAUGACAUCAGGAGCAUCAGUGCAGCACAGGGUGCAAUUCAUUGUUGGGGAUGGGUAGGGACCCAUACCAAGGGCUUAAUCCUGCUAAAAGCUCGACUCCUGGUGCAACUGAUGGGAGUUGAGAGCCAGGCUGGAUUAAAAUGAGCCUGACUAGUUCGUGUCUGGGUAGGGGUGACAGGGACAUAGUUUUCUGAAGAUGUCACAUUUCAGCUAUUCUGACAUGUUAGUAUUGGAACAGCAGGAGAAAAUAAGUGGUUACUCCAAAGUUGUUAUUAAAGCACUUAAAAGAGGAACAGUUCUGAAGAGUCAGUUACGCAGUUUUAUUUUUCCAGUGAUUAGUACUGCUUAUAAGACUGAGGAAGACAGAAAAGGAAGAAAAUACCCUGUUUUUAAUGACCUCUUUAAAUCAUCCAAAGUGUUUGCACUAACAUCUGUCAUAUGCAUAAUGCUGAAGUAUGCGUGAAAAGACCCUGUUUUUUUCCUCAAAGUUCAUCAAACUCCACCCUGCAAUGGAAUUACUUAUAUUUUUUU